UACGUAGGGGGCUAGCGUUGUCCGGAAUCAUUGGGCGUAAAGCGCGUGUAGGCGGCCCGGUAAGUCCGCUGUGAAAGUCGGGGGCUCAACCCUCGGAUGCCGGUGGAUACUGUCGGGCUCGAGUACGGAAGAGGCGAGUGGAAUUCCUGGUGUAGCGGUGAAAUGCGCAGAUAUCAGGAGGAACACCAAUUGCGAAGGCAGCUCGCUGGGACGUUACUGACGCUGAGACGCGAAAGCGUGGGGAGCAAGCAGG
rnacentral:rRNA from 1 species